AGUUUUAAACUCAAGUGGCGGACGGGUGAGUAACACGUAAGAAUUUACCUUUAGGAGGGGGACAACAGCUGGAAACGGUUGCUUACCCCAUAUGCUGUCGAGUAAAAUGGAUUUUUCCGCCUAGAGAGAAGCUUGCGCCUGAUUAGCUUGUUGGUGAGGUAAUGGCUCACCAAGGCGACGAUCAGUAUCUGGUUUGAGAGGACGAUCAGACACACUGGAACUGAGACACGGUCCAGACUCCUGCGGGAGGCCAGUGGGGAAUUUUCCGCAAUGGGCGAAAGCCUGACGGAGCAAUCUCGCGUGAGGGAUGACGGCCUAUGGGUUGUAAACCUCUUUUUUCAGGGAGGAAUAAAAUGACGUGUACCUGAAGAAUAAGCAUCGGCUAACUCCGUGCCAGCAGCCACGGUAAGACGGAGGAUGCAAGUGUUAUCCGGAAUCACUGGGCGUAAAGCGUCUGUAGGUGGUUUAGUAAGUCAACUGUUAAAUCUUGAAGCUUAACUUCAAAAUCGCAGUCGAAACUACUAGACUAGAGUAUAGUAGGGGUAAAGGGAAUUUCCAGUGGAGCGGUGAAAUGCGUAGAGAUUGGAAAGAACACCGAUGGCGAAGCACUUUACUGGGCUAUUACUGACACUCAGAGACGAAAGCUAGGGUAGCAAAUGGGAUUAGAUACCCCAGUAGUC
rnacentral:rRNA from 1 species